UUGAGUGUGAGGGACUUGACCACUUCGUGUGUUCUUGCGAUUGCAUUAGUUGCAUCGGUUUGAGUUCUCCAUAGUGAUACGUGGAAGUGAGAAGUUGAGAACCUUAUUACCUUUGGUACUUAGUACCCUAGAUAUUGUUCUUCGUGUAUGCUUUGGCGUCCUAGAAGCUUGGUGGUGUCUCGGAGCUCAAUCAUUGUGGUGUGAAGCUUCGGGCAUCGGGGUCUCCAAUU
rnacentral:lncRNA from 1 species